rnacentral:rRNA from 1 species
AUUGAACGCUGGCGGCAUGCCUUACACAUGCAAGUCGAACGGCAGCACGGGUCCUUGCCCCUGGUUGCGAGUGGCGCACGUGUGAGUAAUAUAUCGGAACACGUCCUGGAGGGGGGGAUAGCCCGGCGAAAGCCGGAUUAAUACCGCACACGCUCUACGGGUGAAAGGGGGGGACCUUCGGGCCUCGCUCUAGAGUGUUGCCCGAGGGCUGAUUAGCUAGUUGGUGGGGUAAAGGCCUACCAAGGCGACGAUCAGUAUCUGGUCUGAGAGGACGACCAGCCACACUGGGACUGAGACACGGCCCAGACUCCUACGGGAGGCAGCAGUGGGGAAUUUUGGACAAUGGGCGAAAGCCUGAUCCAGCAAUGCCGCGUGUGUGAAGAAGGCCUUCGGGUUGUAAAGCACUUUUGUCCGGAAAGAAAGCCUUGGCCCUAAUACGGUCGGGGGAUGACGGUACCGGAAGAAUAAGCACCGGCUAACUACGUG